AACGCAGCGAAAUGCGAUACUUGGUGUGAAUUGCAGAAUCCCGUGAACCAUCGAGUCUUUGAACGCAAGUUGCGCCCAACGCCUUCCGGCUGAGGGCACGUCUGCCUGGGUGUCACAC
rnacentral:rRNA from 1 species